rnacentral:lncRNA from 1 species
GGGGGUGCGGUGGCGCAGUGGGUUGGACCACAGUCCUGCUGUCCGGUGGGUCUGGGGUUUGAGUCCCGCUUGGGGUGCCUUGCGACGGACUGGCGUCCCGUCCUGGGUGUGUCCCCUCCCCCUCCGGCCUUACGCCCUGUGUUGCCGGGUAGGCUCCGGCUCCCCGCGACCCCAUAUGGGAUGAGCGGUUCUGAAAAUGUGUGUGUGUGUGUGUGUGUGUGUGUGUGUGUGUAUAUUAUGGCUGGACUCACUAUGGAGAAAUGCAUCUUUUGUGAGAAAAAUAAAUAAAAUGGACACUGCUCCUCUCUUUCAGUCGGCAGACUCAGCAGAAGCCGAGGGGUCCGGGGAAGACGAGGGCGUCACGGCAACCAAGCUACAGUGUCAACAAAUGGAUCUGCUGGGAGUGCAGCAAGGAGAGGAGCUGCAGAGAUCUGUGGCCCUGGCAGCCAGGCGGCUGCCCUCUCUACCCAGGCCCAGCGUAAGCUCUGCCGUGUACGACAUCGUGGAGGACAUGAGGGACGGGCGGCCUCCUGCAGAGCCCAGAACAGCCCUCGGGAAGACCUCCAGCUAUGGUACCGUGUACGCUGAUCUGCGGGAGAUGGACGAGAAGAGCUGUGGGACGGGAGCUGUGGGAGAUGCGUCCGGCGAUGUCCAGAACCCAGCUGGAGAGCAGGACUUCCCCGUGUAUGCCAUAGUGAAGAAGGGUGGUGUCCGGCAGGUCCAGUCGGAGCUCGUCCUGUAGAGCACUCGGAGGGACACGUCCUAGAGGACAAUCCAGACUGACUGUGGACAAACACAUAUUUUGUGAGGAAAAGUGUUGUCACAUUUACCGAAGCGAUCAGGCCAAAUGUUUUCCUUGAGAGUUCAGCGUAAAUCAGUUCUCCUCCCCAGUUUUGAAUAAAAGCCAUUUGUGUCCCUAGAACCA